AUUGAACGCUGGCGGCAUGCCUUACACAUGCAAGUCGAACGGCAGCACGGGUGCUUGCACCUGGUGGCGAGUGGCGAACGGGUGAGUAAUACAUCGGAACAUGUCCUGUAGUGGGGGAUAGCCCGGCGAAAGCCGGAUUAAUACCGCAUACGAUCUACGGAUGACAGCGGGGGACCUUCGGGCCUCGCGCUAUAGGGUUGGCCGAUGGCUGAUUAGCUAGUUGGUGGGGUAAAGGCCUACCAAGGCGACGAUCAGUAGCUGGUCUGAGAGGACGACCAGCCACACUGGGACUGAGACACGGCCCAGACUCCUACGGGAGGCAGCAGUGGGGAAUUUUGGACAAUGGGCGAAAGCCUGAUCCAGCAAUGCCGCGUGUGUGAAGAAGGCCUUCGGGUUGUAAAGCACUUUUGUCCGGAAAGAAAUCCUUGGCUCUAAUACAGUCGGGGAUGACGGUACCGGAAGAAUAAGCACCGGCUAACUACGUG
rnacentral:rRNA from 1 species